AGUGGCGGAUGGGUGAGUAACGCGUGGGCAACCUACCCUGUACAGGGGGAUAACAAUGGGAAACCAUUGCUAAUACCCCAUGAUACCUUUUAAGGGCAUCCUUAAAAGGUCAAAGAAUUUCGGUAUAGGAUGGGCCCGCGUCUGAUUAGCUAGUUGGUAGGGUAAUGGCCUACCAAAGCAACGAUCAGUAGCCGGCCUGAGAGGGUGAACGGCCACACUGGAACUGAGACACGGUCCAGACUCCUACGGGAGGCAGCAGUGGGGAAUAUUGCACAAUGGGGGAAACCCUGAUGCAGCAACGCCGCGUGAGCGAUGAAGGCUUUCGAGUCGUAAAGCUCUGUCCUAAGGGAAGAUAAUGACGGUACCUUAGGAGGAAGCCCCGGCUAACUACGUGCCAGCAGCCGCGGUAAUACGUAGGGGGCAAGCGUUAUCCGGAAUUAUUGGGCGUAAAGGGUGCGUAGGCGGCCUUAUGGGUCAGAGGUUAAAUACUACGGCUUAACCGUAGUAUGCCUUUGAAACUAUAGGGCUUGAGUGCAGGAGAGGAGAGUGGAAUUCCUAGUGUAGCGGUGAAAUGCGUAGAUAUUAGGAGGAAUACCAGUGGCGAAAGGCGACUCUCUGGACUGCAACUGACGCUAAGGCACGAAAGCGUGGGUAGCGAACAGGAUUAGAUACCCUGGUAGUCCACGCCGUAAACGAUGAGUGCUAGGUGUUGGGGGUCAAACCUCGGUGCCGCAGUUAACGCAUUAAGCACUCCGCCUGGGGAGUACGUUCGCAAGAAUAAAACUCAAAGGAAUUGACGGGGACCCGCACAAGCAGCGGAGCAUGUGGUUUAAUUCGAAGCAACGCGAAGAACCUUACCAGGGCUUGACAUCCCUUGACGAUCCUAGAGAUAGGAUUUCUCUUCGGAGCAAGGAGACAGGUGGUGCAUGGUUGUCGUCAGCUCGUGUCGUGAGAUGUUAGGUUAAGUCCCGCAACGAGCGCAACCCCCGUUGUUAGUUGCCAUCAUUUAGUUGGGCACUCUAGCAAGACUGCCGGUGACAAAUCGGAGGAAGGUGGGGACGACGUCAAAUCAUCAUGCCCCUUAUGUCCUGGGCUACACACGUACUACAAUGGCUGUUACAGAGGGAAGCGAAACCGCGAGGAGGAGCAAACCCCCAAAGGCAGCCCCAGUUCGGAUUGCAGGCUGAAACCCGCCUGCAUGAAGUCGGAAUUGCUAGUAAUGGCAGGUCAGCAUACUGCCGUGAAUACGUUCCCGGGCCUUGUACACACCGCCCGUCACACCAUGAGAGUCUGCAACACCCGAAGUCAGUAGUCUAACCGUAAGGAGGACGCUGCCGAAGGUGGGGCCGAUGAUUGGGGUGAAGUCGUAACAAGGUAGCCG
rnacentral:rRNA from 1 species